rnacentral:rRNA from 1 species
GCGUGUCGUCAGCUCGUGUCGUGAGAUGUUGGGUUAAGUCCCGCAACGAGCGCAACCCCUAUCUUUAGUUGCCAUCAUUGAGUUGGGCACUCUAAAGAGACUGCCGGUGUCAAACCGGAGGAAGUGGGGAUGACGUCAAGUCCUCAUGGCCUUUAUGACCAGGGCUACACACGUACUACAAUGGCCGGUACAAAGGGCAGCGACACAGCGAUGUGAAGCGAAUCCCGAGAAGCCGGUCUCAGUCCGGAUUGGAGUCUGCAACUCGACUCCAUGAAGUUGGAAUCGCUAGUAAUCGCGGAUCAGCACGCCGCGGUGAAUACGUUCCCGGGCCUU